rnacentral:rRNA from 1 species
AACGAACGCUGGCGGCAGGCUUAACACAUGCAAGUCGAGCGCCCCGCAAGGGGAGCGGCAGACGGGUGAGUAACGCGUGGGAACGUACCUUUUGGUUCGGAACAACUCCGGGAAACUGGAGCUAAUACCGGAUAAGCCCUAACGGGGAAAGAUUUAUCACCGAAAGAUCGGCCCGCGUCUGAUUAGCUAGUUGGUGAGGUAACGGCUCACCAAGGCGACGAUCAGUAGCUGGUCUGAGAGGAUGAUCAGCCACACUGGGACUGAGACACGGCCCAGACUCCUACGGGAGGCAGCAGUGGGGAAUAUUGGACAAUGGGCGCAAGCCUGAUCCAGCCAUGCCGCGUGAGUGAUGAAGGCCUUAGGGUUGUAAAGCUCUUUUGUCCGGGAAGAUAAUGACUGUACCGGAAGAAUAAGCCCCGGCUAACUUCGUG